CUAGCGACUUCAGAGUUUGAUCCUGGCUCAGGAUGAACGCUGGCGGCGUGCUUAACACAUGCAAGUCGAACGAAGCGCUUUAACGGAACUCUUCGGAGGGAAGUUAUUGUGACUGAGUGGCGGACGGGUGAGUAACGCGUGGGUAACCUGCCUUGCACAGGGGGAUAACAGUUAGAAAUGACUGCUAAUACCGCAUAACCCGCUAGUACCGCAUGGUACAGACGGAAAAGAUUUAUCGGUGUAAGAUGGACCCGCGUCUGAUUAGCUGGUUGGUGAGGUAACGGCUCACCAAGGCGACGAUCAGUAGCCGGCUUGAGAGAGUGGACGGCCACAUUGGGACUGAGACACGGCCCAG
rnacentral:rRNA from 1 species